rnacentral:rRNA from 1 species
CGUAAACCAAGGCAGCCCUAAAACACCCUGCCCGCCAGAACACUACGAAAUAAAACUUCAAACUUAAAGGACUUGACGGUGUUGCAAACCAACCUAGAGAAGCCUGUCCCAUAAUCGAUAACCCACGUUUUACCCUGCCCCCCCUAGCCACUCAGUCUAUAUACCGCCGUCGCAAGUCUACCUUUUGAAAGCGUCACAACAGGCAGAAUCGUCUAUCACAAACACGUCAGGUCAAGGUGUAACUAAUGGGGGGGAUGCAAGAUGGGCUACAUUUUCUCUUCCCAGGGCCAACCACAUGCCCCCCGAAAUGGGGGCAAAAAGCUGGAUUUAGCAGUAAGUGCAACAAACAUGUUGCACUGAAAUACGCGCUG